rnacentral:rRNA from 1 species
AGCUUGCUCCCUGAAGUCAGCGGCGGACGGGUUUGUAACACGUGGGCAACCUGCCUGUAAGACUGGGAUAACUCCGGGAAACCGGGGCUAAUACCGGAUAAUUCUUUCCCUCACAUGAGGGAAAGCUGAAAGAUGGUUUCGGCUAUCACUUACAGAUGGGCCCGCGGCGCAUUAGCUAGUUGGUGAGGUAACGGCUCACCAAGGCAACGAUGCGUAGCCGACCUGAGAGGGUGAUCGGCCACACUGGGACUGAGACACGGCCCAGACUCCUACGGGAGGCAGCAGUAGGGAAUCUUCCGCAAUGGACGAAAGUCUGACGGAGCAACGCCGCGUGAGUGAUGAAGGUUUUCGGAUCGUAAAACUCUGUUGUUAGGGAAGAACAAGUACCGGAGUAACUGCCGGUACCUUGACGGUACCUAACCAGAAAGCCACGGCUAACUACGUGCCAGCAGCCGCGGUAAUACGUAGGUGGCAAGCGUUGUCCGGAAUUAUUGGGCGUAAAGCGCGCGCAGGCGGUUCCUUAAGUCUGAUGUGAAAGCCCCCGGCUCAACCGGUGAGGGUCAUUGGAAACUGGGGAACUUGAGUGCAGAAUAGAAGAGUGGAAUUCCACGUGUAGCGGUGAAAUGCGUAUAGAUGUGGAGGAACACCAGUGGCGAAGGCGACUCUUUGGUCUGUAAC